rnacentral:rRNA from 1 species
CCUACGGGAGGCAGCAGUGAGGAAUAUUGGUCAAUGGACGAGAGUCUGAACCAGCCAAGUAGCGUGAAGGAUGACUGCCCUAUGGGUUGUAAACUUCUUUUAUAAAGGAAUAAAACGAGGCACGUGUGCCUUUUUGCAUGUACUUUAUGAAUAAGGAUCGGCUAACUCCGUGCCAGCAGCCGCGGUAAUACGGAGGAUCCGAGCGUUAUCCGGAUUUAUUGGGUUUAAAGGGAGCGUAGAUGGGUUGUUAAGUCAGUUGUGAAAGUUUGCGGCUCAACCGUAAAAUUGCAAUUGAUACUGGCAGUCUUGAGUACAGUUGAGGUAAGCGGAAUUCGUGGUGUAGCGGUGAAAUGCUUAGAUAUCACGAAGAACCCCGAUUGCGAAGGCAGCUUACUAAACUGUGACUGACAUUGAUGCUCGAAAGUGUGGGUAGCAAACAGGAUUAGAUACCCUAGUAGUC